rnacentral:rRNA from 1 species
UUGGUUAAGUUAGAAAGGGCGCACGGUGGAUGCCUUGGCACUAGGAGCCGAAGAAGGACGGGACUAACACCGAUAUGCUUUGGGGAGCUGUACGUAAGCGUUGAUCCAGAGAUUUCCGAAUGGGGGAACCCACUAUCUUUAGUCGGAUAGUAUCCUUACGUGAAUACAUAGCGUGAGGAAGGCAGACCCAGGGAACUGAAACAUCUAAGUACCUGGAGGAAGAGAAAGAAAAAUCGAUUUCCUGAGUAGCGGCGAGCGAAACGGAAAGAGCCCAAACCAAGAAGCUUGCUUCUUGGGGUUGUAGGACACUCUAUACGGAGUUACAAAAGAAAGUUAUAAAUGAAGCGGUCUGGAAAGGCCCGCCAAAGACGGUAACAGCCCGGUAGUUGAAAUAGCUUUCCCUCCAGAGUGGAUCCUGAGUACGGCGGAACACGUGAAAUUCCGUCGGAAUCCGGGAGGACCAUCUCCCAAGGCUAAAUACUCCCUAGUGACCGAUAGUGAACCAGUACCGUGAGGGAAAGGUGAAAAGCACCCCGGAAGGGGAGUGAAACAGUUCCUGAAACCGUGUGCCUACAAGUAGUUAGAGCCCGUUAAUGGGUGAUAGCGUGCCUUUUGUAGAAUGAACCGGCGAGUUACGAUUUGUUGCAAGGUUAAGCGGAAAAAGCGGAGCCGUAGCGAAAGCGAGUCUGAAUAGGGCGCAUAAGUAACAGGUCGUAGACCCGAAACCAGGUGAUCUACCCAUGUCCAGGAUGAAGGUAAGGUAAUACUUACUGGAGGUCCGAACCCACGCACGUUGAAAAGUGCGGGGAUGAGGUGUGGGUAGCGGAGAAAUUCCAAUCGAACUUGGAGAUAGCUGGUUCUCUCCGAAAUAGCUUUAGGGCUAGCCUCGAGGUAAAGAGUCAUGGAGGUAGAGCACUGUUUGGACUAGGGGCCCUUCUCGGGUUACCGAAUUCAGAUAAACUCCGAAUGCCAUGUACUUAUACUCGGGAGUCAGACUGCGAGUGAUAAGAUCCGUAGUCGAAAGGGAAACAGCCCAGACCACCAGUUAAGGUCCCCAAAUAUAUGUUAAGUGGAAAAGGAUGUGGGGUUGCUUAGACAACCAGGAUGUUGGCUUAGAAGCAGCCACCAUUGAAAGAGUGCGUAAUAGCUCACUGGUCGAGUGACCCCGCGCCGAAAAUGUACCGGGGCUAAACAUAUUACCGAAACUGUGGAUGAACCUCUUUAGAGGUUCGUGGUAGGAGAGCGUUCUAAGGGCGGUGAAGUCAGACCGGAAGGACUGGUGGAGCGCUUAGAAGUGAGAAUGCCGGUAUGAGUAGCGAAAGAAGGGUGAGAAUCCCUUCCACCGAAUAUCUAAGGUUUCCUGAGGAAGGCUCGUCCGCUCAGGGUUAGUCGGGACCUAAGCCGAGGCCGAUAGGCGUAGGCGAUGGACAACAGGUAGAGAUUCCUGUACCAGUGCUAAUUGUUUAACCGAUGGGGUGACACAGAAGGAUAGGGAAUCGCACGAAUGGAAAUGUGCGUCCAAGCAGUGAGUGUGAGAAGUAGGCAAAUCCGCUUCUCGCGAAGCAUGAGCUGUGAUGGGGAAGGAAAUUAAGUACGGAAGUUCCUGAUUUCACGCUGUCAAGAAAAGCCUCUAGGAAGAGUAGUACUGCCCGUACCGCAAACCGACACAGGUAGAUGAGGAGAGAAUCCUAAGGUGAGCGAGAGAACUCUCGUUAAGGAACUCGGCAAAAUGACCCCGUAACUUCGGGAGAAGGGGUGCUCUAUUAGGGUGCAAGCCCGAGAGAGCCGCAGUGAAUAGGCCCAGGCGACUGUUUAGCAAAAACACAGGUCUCUGCAAAACCGUAAGGUGACGUAUAGGGGCUGACGCCUGCCCGGUGCUGGAAGGUUAAGAGGAGUGCUUAGCUUCGGCGAAGGUACGAAUUGAAGCCCCAGUAAACGGCGGCCGUAACUAUAACGGUCCUAAGGUAGCGAAAUUCCUUGUCGGGUAAGUUCCGACCCGCACGAAAGGCGCAACGAUCUGGGCACUGUCUCAACGAGAGACUCGGUGAAAUUAUAGUACCUGUGAAGAUGCAGGUUACCCGCGACAGGACGGAAAGACCCCGUGGAGCUUUACUGCAACCUGAUAUGGAAUGUUUGUACCGCUUGUACAGGAUAGGUAGGAGCCGAAGAGACGUGUGCGCUAGCAUACGAGGAGGCAAUGGUGGGAUACUACCCUGGCUGUAUGACCAUUCUAACCCGCCACGCUUAGCGCGUGGGGAGACAGUGUCAGGUGGGCAGUUUGACUGGGGCGGUCGCCUCCUAAAGAGUAACGGAGGCGCCCAAAGGUUCCCUCAGAAUGGAUGGAAAUCAUUCGCAGAGUGUAAAGGCACAAGGGAGCUUGACUGCGA